CUUAACACAUGCAAGUCGAGGGGUAACAUUGUAGCUUGCUACAGAUGACGACCGGCGAACGGGUGCGUAACGCGUAUAGAAUCUGCCUUGUACAUGAGGAUAGCCUUUAGAAAUGAAGAUUAAUACUCCAUAAUGCUAAUAUGUGGCAUCACAAAUUAGUUAAAGAUUUAUCGGUACAAGAUGACUAUGCGUCCUAUUAGCUAGAUGGUAAGGUAACGGCUUACCAUGGCAACGAUAGGUAGGGGGUCUGAGCGGAUUAUCCCCCACACUGGUACUGAGACACGGACCAGACUCCUACGGGAGGCAGCAGGAGGAAUAUUGGUCAAUGGAGGCAACUCUGAACCAGCCAUGCCGCGUGCAGGAUGACUGCCCUAUGGGUUGUAAACUGCUUUUAUACAGGAAGAAACCAUGUACGUGUACAUCCUUGACGGUACUGUAAGAAUAAGGACCGGCUAACUCCGUGCCAGCAGCCGCGGUAAUAC
rnacentral:rRNA from 1 species